CUAAAUCUCUCUUAGUUUUCCUUGUUCCAUUUUCAACCAAAAAAAAUAAAACAAAUAAUUACUAAAUAUAAAUAAAUUAAUCAAAAAAGAACAAAACAAAAAAAAAAGAAAAAAAGAAAAUUGGAAUUUUUUCCUCCGUCAAACUCACGCCAGCCCCAAAUUCAUCUUCUUCACUCAUCUUCUUCUGCGACGUUGUAAUCUUCUUCGCUCAUCUUCUUCUCCGACGUUGCAAUCGACGUUGCCCAGCGACCGCCGCCGCCGCCGCGAGUUCAGAUCUCCUCCAAAGUCGCCGCCAAUUCGAGGUCCGGCGAACUCCACUUCGUCGAAUUCUCCGACGAAUAGCAAAGCUCAUCGCAAAAUCCUCUCAAACGCAGCUGCCGCUGCAGCCGCCGCUAAGUGAGAGUUGAGUGGGUGAGUCGUGUCUAUGUGAGGUAUGAGCUGAGAAAUUAAAAUCGAAAGUGUGCGUUUGCUGUAUUUUUUUUUUUCAAUUGGAGAAGAGGGCUAAAUUGAAAGUGUUAGGGACUGAAUUGAAAUUUUUGAAAAUUCCAUUUCAGUCAUAAAAUUCUAGAGGUUGAACAUAUCUAUCUGGAGGGCUUUUUUGUCUUUUCGCAAGCGGUCAACGGACAAAAAUAAAAACGGGUCGAGUGUGCUUGAUUGAACACUUGUUAGGGGGUUUUUUGUGACAUAUUUUUUCCCAGGGGGUUUUUUGGCCUUUAGGAAUUACACAGGGGGGGUUUUUGCAUUUAACUCGUUCUUUUUAUUACCCCUCCUUUUUAGAGGUGAAAAUUACUAAAAUAGAUCUUCCAUCAUUAACCCCACCACUACUUAAAUAGGUAUAAUUACACUUUGGAUCCUUGAAAUGUAG
rnacentral:lncRNA from 1 species